rnacentral:rRNA from 1 species
UACGAAGGGGGCUAGCGUUGUUCGGAAUUACUGGGCGUAAAGGGCGCGUAGGCGGUUUGAUAAGUCAGGCGUGAAAUCCUGGGGCUUAACCCCAGAACUGCGUUUGAAACUGUCAGGCUAGAGUUCGAGAGAGGGUAGUGGAAUUCCCAGUGUAGAGGUGAAAUUCGUAGAUAUUGGGAAGAACACCAGUGGCGAAGGCGGCUACCUGGCUCGAUACUGACGCUGAGGCGCGAAAGCGUGGGGAGCAAACAGG